rnacentral:rRNA from 1 species
CUGGGGGCCCUGCCUAUACAUGCAAGUCGAACGAACUCUGGUAUUGAUUGGUGCUUGCAUCAUGAUUUACAUUUGAGUGAGUGGCGAACUGGUGAGUAACACGUGGGAAACCUGCCCAGAAGCGGGGGAUAACACCUGGAAACAGAUGCUAAUACCGCAUAACAACUUGGACCGCAUGGUCCGAGUUUGAAAGAUGGCUUCGGCUAUCACUUUUGGAUGGUCCCGCGGCGUAUUAGCUAGAUGGUGGGGUAACGGCUCACCAUGGCAAUGAUACGUAGCCGACCUGAGAGGGUAAUCGGCCACAUUGGGACUGAGACACGGCCCAAACUCCUACGGGAGGCAGCAGUAGGGAAUCUUCCACAAUGGACGAAAGUCUGAUGGAGCAACGCCGCGUGAGUGAAGAAGGGUUUCGGCUCGUAAAACUCUGUUGUUAAAGAAGAACAUAUCUGAGAGUAACUGUUCAGGUAUUGACGGUAUUUAACCAGAAAGCCACGGCUAACUACGUGCCAGCAGCCGCGGUAAUACGUAGGUGGCAAGCGUUGUCCGGAUUUAUUGGGCGUAAAGCGAGCGCAGGCGGUUUUUUAAGUCUGAUGUGAAAGCCUUCGGCUCAACCGAAGAAGUGCAUCGGAAACUGGGAAACUUGAGUGCAGAAGAGGACAGUGGAACUCCAUGUGUAGCGGUGAAAUGCGUAGAUAUAUGGAAGAACACCAGUGGCGAAGGCGGCUGUCUGGUCUGUAACUGACGCUGAGGCUCGAAAGUAUGGGUAGCAAACAGGAUUAGAUACCCUGGUAGUCCAUACCGUAAACGAUGAAUGCUAAGUGUUGGAGGGUUUCCGCCCUUCAGUGCUGCAGCUAACGCAUUAAGCAUUCCGCCUGGGGAGUACGGCCGCAAGGCUGAAACUCAAAGGAAUUGACGGGGGCCCGCACAAGCGGUGGAGCAUGUGGUUUAAUUCGAAGCUACGCGAAGAACCUUACCAGGUCUUGACAUACUAUGCAAAUCUAAGAGAUUAGACGUUCCCUUCGGGGACAUGGAUACAGGUGGUGCAUGGUUGUCGUCAGCUCGUGUCGUGAGAUGUUGGGUUAAGUCCCGCAACGAGCGCAACCCUUAUUAUCAGUUGCCAGCAUUAAGUUGGGCACUCUGGUGAGACUGCCGGUGACAAACCGGAGGAAGGUGGGGAUGACGUCAAAUCAUCAUGCCCCUUAUGACCUGGGCUACACACGUGCUACAAUGGAUGGUACAACGAGUUGCGAACUCGCGAGAGUAAGCUAAUCUCUUAAAGCCAUUCUCAGUUCGGAUUGUAGGCUGCAACUCGCCUACAUGAAGUCGGAAUCGCUAGUAAUCGCGGAUCAGCAUGCCGCGGUGAAUACGUUCCCGGGCCUUGUACACACCGCCCGUCACACCAUGAGAGUUUGUAACACCCAAAGUCGGUGGGGUAACCUUUUAGGAACCAGCCGCCUAAGGUGGACCCAA